UGUAUGUGUGAGAUCUGAUGGGGUUAAGUUGGUGAUCCUAUGCUGUCAAGAAAAACCUCGGCGCGAGGUGUGAGCCGCCCGUACCCUAAACCGACUCAGGUGAUCAGGUAGAGAAUACUAAGGCGAUCGAGAUAAUCAUGGUUAAGGAACUCGGCAAAAUGCCCCCGUAACUUCGGGAGAAGGGGGGCCUCGAGCGUGAACACCUUUACGGUGGUAAGCGUGUAGGGGCCGCAGAGACCAGGGAGAAGCGACUGUUUACUAAAAACACAGGUCCGUGCGAAGUUGCAAAACGAUGUAUACGGACUGACGCCUGCCCGGUGCUGGAAGGUUAAGAGGACCGGUUAGCUCAACUUGUUGAGCGAAGCUGAGAAUUUAAGCCCCAGUAAACGGCGGUGGUAACUAUAACCAUCCUAAGGUAGCGAAAUUCCUUGUCGGGUAAGUUCCGACCUGCACGAAUGGCGUAACGACUUCUCCGCUGUCUCAACCGUGAACUCGGCGAAAUUGCAUUACGAGUAAAGAUGCUCGUUACGCGCAGCAGGACGGAAAGACCCCGGGACCUUUACUAUAGCUUGGUAUUGGUAUUCGGUGUGAUUUGUGUAGGAUAGGUGGGAGACUGUGAAGCUCGGGCGCUAGCUUGGGUGGAGUCGCCGUUGAAAUACCACUCUGAUCAUAACGGAUACCUUAACCUCGGACCCUGAUCGGGUUCAGGGACAGUGCCUGGUGGGUAGUUUAACUGGGGCGGUUGCCUCCUAAAAUGUAACGGAGGCGCUCAAAGGUUCCCUCAGCCUGGUUGGCAAUCAGGUGGCGAGUGUAAGUGCACAAGGGAGCUUGACUGUAAGACUGACAGGUCGAGCAGGGACGAAAGUCGGAACUAGUGAUCCGGCCAUGGCUUGUGGAAGCGUGGUCGCUCAACGGAUAAAAGGUACCCCGGGGAUAACAGGCUGAUCUUGCCCAAGAGUCCAUAUCGACGGCAUGGUUUGGCACCUCGAUGUCGGCUCGUCGCAUCCUGGGGCUGGAGUAGGUCCCAAGGGUUGGGCUGUUCGCCCAUUAAAGCGGUACGCGAGCUGGGUUUAGAACGUCGUGAGACAGUUCGGUCCCUAUCCGCUGCGCGCGCAGGAAACUUGAGAAGACCUGUCCCUAGUACGAGAGGACCGGGACGGACGAACCUCUGGUGUGCCAGUUGUACCGCCAGGUGCAUGGCUGGUUGGCUACGUUCGGAAGGGAUAACCGCUGAAAGCAUCUAAGCGGGAAGCCUGCUUCAAGAUGAGGUUUCCAUCCCCUUUGGGGGUGUAGGUGUCCAGUAGACCACUGGGUUGAUAGGCCGGAUGUAGAAGCAAGGACGAAAGACUUGUGGAGCUGACCGGUACUAAUACACCAACAAC
rnacentral:rRNA from 1 species